rnacentral:rRNA from 1 species
UACAGGGGGGGCAAGCGUUGUUCGGAAUUACUGGGCGUAAAGGGCUCGUAGGUGGCCAACUAAGUCAGUCGUGAAAUCCCUCAGCUUAACUGGGGAACUGCGUCUGAUACUGGAUGGCUUGAGUUUGGGAGAGGGAUGCGGAAUUCCAGGUGUAGCGGUGAAAUGCGUAGAUAUCUGGAGGAACACCGGUGGCGAAGGCGGCAUCCUGGACCAACACUGACACUGAGGAGCGAAAGCCAGGGGAGCAAACGGG